UGGGGAAUUUUGGACAAUGGGCGCAAGCCUGAUCCAGCCGUGCCGCGUGCGGGAAGAAGGUCUUCGGGUUGCAAACCGCUUUUGUCAGGGAAGAAAUCUUCUGAGUUAAUACCUCGGGAGGAUGACGGUACCUGAAGAAUAAGCACCGGCUAGCUACGUGCCAGCAGCCGCGGUAAUACGUAGGGUGCAAGCGUUAAUCGGAAUUACUGGGCGUAAAGCGUGCGCAGGCGGUUUUGUAAGACAGAGGUGAAAUCCCCGGGCUCAACCUGGGAACUGCCUUUGUGACUGCAAGGCUUGAGUGCGGCAGAGGGGGAUGGAAUUCCGCGUGUAGCAGUGAAAUGCGUAGAUAUGCGGAGGAACACCGAUGGCGAAGGCAAUCCCCUGGGCCUGCACUGACGCUCAUGCACGAAAGCGUGGGGAGCAAACAGGAUUAGAUACCCUGGUAGUCCACGCCCUAAACGAUGUCAACUGGUUGUUGGGAAGGUUCCUUCUCAGUAACGUAGCUAACGCGUGAAGUUGACCGCCUGGGGAGUACGGCCGCAAGGUUGAAA
rnacentral:rRNA from 1 species